UUUUAAUUGCCCAAUUAUGCAAGGCACAAUGCCAUUCCCUUACUCAGACUUGGGUAGACUGGCUUUUGUGAACAUAUAUAAGCCAAGACCAUCUGGUAGAUAUUACACACCUGAAGUAACUUUCUUCUUCAAUUUUUUGAUUUUGAUUUAAAAUUUUCAAACCUUCAACAACAUGAAGUUUGCUUUGUUGUUCGCUCUUAUUUUCCAAGUUCUUUUUGUAAUUGGCCAGGUGCAUGGAGAAUGCGUGGCACACGGAAAAACGUGCACUAAAACCUCGGAAUGUUGUACAAGACUUCAUGGAGGUGUGGUGUGCAGAAAACCCGGAUUAUUAAAAGAAGAAGAUGAAGGAACCUGUACCUACGUGUCAAGUGGACCGAUAAUGGGUUAGGUAAACAUAAAACGCUUAAACUGAAUGAUUCUAUGGGACUAUAAAUAAAAAUGUCUCCAUUUGAAGAGAA
rnacentral:sRNA from 1 species